UGAGAUAUAGGGGAUCAACGGCAAAUUCAGGAUCAGCAGAACAAUGUUGCCAAAAUACAUUGAGAUGAUCACUGACCAGAACACGUCUGGGUUAUCAACGAACAGGCGUGGGCC
rnacentral:ncRNA from 1 species